AACUCGUCUUCAAUAGUUGAAAGAAACUUACGUAAAGCUCUGCAAUUUAUUCUCUUGACAAUUUGUUUUGCUUUCCAACUUUUAGUUAAAAGUGACUGAUUAACAGUUUAACACACACACCGUCGUGUUAGUUUAGAUUAACGCCGCUUGGAAUUUUCUCUUAGUGUAUUCUGCUAAUGUCAGAACUCGUGAAAUCAUCGUGGUGAAAUGAGAAUAAGUUUCGUUCGCUACUGAAUAGGGUCGCCAGCACCAACUGGCGCAUUUCUAUCGACCCAUCCAUCAUCCGGCGGAAUUAAUUUCCAACCAUACUAUGACUCCUCGACUUGUUGAAGCAUUCAUAUCUAUCCCGGGUGGAAUAUCAGAUUUAAUUUUCUCCCAUAUUCAUCAGCAAAGAAAACAGGAUCUUCAUUCGCUUCGGAUCAGCUGUCUGGAUUUUGUGUACGAAAGGCUGCACGCUUUUGAACAAUGAGAUUGGCCUGCGGACGCGUCUGUGUGCGUGAUCGAUCAAGUCGUCGCACACACGGUGAGAUUUGCUGCCUGAAAACCACACGGUAACUUUAGAAAAUGAUUACGUCAGCCGUGAAAUUAGUGCGAUUCCACCAGGCGCAGGAUCGGCUGCACAGGAGAACCAAAAACACAACUUUCAUCCCACCUAUGAAUUCGCUCACAUUAUUAUUCAUCAUUCAGUAUUUAUGGCCUUCUAUACUUUGGUCUAGGGUAUAGGCUUUUAAUCCUAAUUAUACGAGAUCUCACCCAGGAUAUCCGACUUUAAUUGCCCCAAACUUUAUCAACAACUUUUUGAAUUGACGAUAACUCUGUGUGUAGCCGCUAUAAAUAACUUAACAUCAGUCCCAUUGUUUAUUAUAUAUAGGGCAAUAAACCAGACAGAACUGCAGCAACCAAGAACAUCAUCAUCUCCUUGAGAUUUGAACAAAAUAAUGGUCUGGCACUUAAUGUGAUCCAAGCAGCUGCAACUUUUGUCCGGACUCUGCUGACGAUAUUUCACCCUACACCGGCUCCCAGCUAAUGAGGAUUUCUCCGAUCGUAAUGCAACCUCUUUUUCAACUGAUUACGAAAGAGGCUUAUCACGUUACACGUUGCACCGACCAAAUAUUUUCAUUCUCGUCUGGAUCUCUGGAAUAUCGAAUUUCAUGGAAUCAAAGGCAAUUAAUUGUCUAAUUAUACACGCACGGACGAUCACCAUAGCGACGUGAAAUGGUUUUUUGUAAAACUGUUUACAGGGUCCUUCCAAUUGCUGGGGUAUACGUGAACAAAGUUACAUUUCGGCAUGUGUUUUAAGCAUGUGCGUGACUGGUUGGCCGUCUUUUGUCGUCACCACUUGAAAAACAUGGAACCAUCCAUCCGGCUAGCUACAGGCAGCAGCAGCAGCCCCCCAACGACUGGGAGCGCUCAUUAGGAACGGAUGUUGUGACACGCGAUUAAAAGCCAUCCUGAAUAUACUGUAAACAUUUCACUA